CCUACGGGAGGCAGCAGUGGGGGAUAUUGCACAAUGGGGGAAACCCUGAUGCAGCGAUGCCGCGUGAAUGAAGACGGCCUUCGGGUUGUAAAGUUCUGUCGCAGGGGAAGAAAAUGACGGUACCUGAGUAAGAAGCUCCGGCUGAAUACGUGCCAGCAGCCGCGGUAAUACGUAUGGAGCAAGCGUUAUCCGGAUUUACUGGGUUUAAAGGGAGCGCAGGCGGCCUUGCAAGUCUGAUGUGAAAUACCGGGGCUCAACCCCGGAGCUGCAUUGGAAACUGGGAGGCUGGAGUGGCGGAGAGGCAGGCGGAAUUCCUAGUGUAGCGGUGGAAUGCGUAGAUAUUAGGAGGAACACCAGUGUCGAAGGCGGCCGGCUGGACGAUGACUGACGCUGAGGCUCGAAAGCGUGGGGAGCAAACAGGAUUUAGAUACCCUGGUAGUC
rnacentral:rRNA from 1 species